rnacentral:rRNA from 1 species
AUUGAACGCUGGCGGCAGGCCUAACACAUGCAAGUCGAGCGUGCCCCGGACGUGUGAGUAAUCUAUGGGGAUCUGCCCGAUAGCGGGUGAUAACUUCUGGAAACGGUGGCUAAUACCGCCUACUAUCUGAUGAACCCAUAUGUGAUUAGCUAGUAGGUGGGGUAAAGGCUCACCUAGGCGGCGAUCGCUAGCUGGUCUGAGAGGAUGAUCAGCCACACUGGGACUGAGACACGGCCCAUACUCCUACGGGAGGCAGCAGUAAGGAAUAUUGCGCAAUGGGCGCAGGCCUGAUGCAGCCAUGCCGCGUGUAUGAAGAAGGCCUUAGGGUUGUAAAGUACUAUCAGCGGGGAGGCGAUGCCCGGAGAAGAAGCACCGGCUAGCUCCGUGCUAGCAGCCGCGGUAAUUC